rnacentral:sRNA from 1 species
GAGGUUUUUGUAGGAUUUGCAAGAUUUUGCCUGCCAAAGAAAAGUAGCUGAUAAGACCUGUCUUAAGGAGGCUGAAUCUUUCUGCUGCAAGUGGCUGGUGGAUGGCAUGGCCCAGGCCAGGAAACCAGGGCCUGGAUUCCUUCUGAAAACAUUCAAGAUAUCACAGUCAACAUUCAUCGGCUGCACGUGAAGCGCAGUAUGGGUUGGAAAAAGGCCUGUGAUGAGCUGGAGCUGCAUCAGCGUUUCCUACGAGAAGGGAGAUUUUGGAAAUCUAAGAAUGAGGACCGAGGUGAGGAAGAGGCAGAAUCCAGUAUCUCCUCCACCAGUAAUGAGCAGCUAAAGGUCACUCAAGAACCAAGAGCAAAGAAAGGACGACGUAAUCAAAGUGUGGAGCCCAAAAAGGAAGAACCAGAGCCUGAAACAGAAGCAGUAAGUUCUAGCCAGGAAAUACCCACGAUGCCUCAGCCCAUCGAAAAAGUCUCCGUGUCAACUCAGACAAAGAAGUUAAGUGCCUCUUCACCAAGAAUGCUGCAUCGGAGCACCCAGACCACAAACGACGGCGUGUGUCAGAGCAUGUGCCAUGACAAAUACACCAAGAUCU